UCCUACGGGAGGCAGCAGUGGGGAAUAUUGCGCAAUGGGGGAAACCCUGACGCAGCAACGCCGCGUGAGUGAGGAAGUAUCUCGGUAUGUAAAGCUCUAUCAGCGGGGAAGAAGGAAGACGGUACCCGACUAAGAAGCCCCGGCUAACUACGUGCCAGCAGCCGCGGUAGUACGUAGGGGGCAAGCGUUAUCCGGAUUUACUGGGUGUAAAGGGAGCGUAGACGGCAGCACAAGUCUGGAGUGAAAUCCCGGGGCUUAACCCCGGAACUGCUUUGGACACUGUGCGGCUGGAGUGCAGGAGGGGG
rnacentral:rRNA from 1 species